AUUUACUGAGACCGAGGGAAACAGUGUGUUUUGUGGACCCGAAACAUCAACGGUCGAGGGUCCACAAAACACACUGCUUUCCCGAGGUCUCAGUAAAUAUAAGUGUUUUA